rnacentral:rRNA from 1 species
AGCGUUCAGUUACUUGACGUAGACCCGAAACCGGGCGACCUACCCAUGAGCAGGAUGAAGCGAAAGUAAAAUUUCGUGGAGGUCCGAACCCACGAGCGUUGAAAAGCUCGGGGAUGACUUGUGGGUAGCGGUGAAAUUCCAAUCGAGCCCGGAGAUAGCUGGUUCUCCCCGAAAUAGCUUUAGGGCUAGCCUCAAGGUGAGAGAUACGGAGGUAGAGCACUGAAUGUCCUAGGGGGUAUUGCACCUACCGAAGACUAUCAAACUCCGAAUGCCGUCAUCUUAUACUUGGGAGUCAGACUGUGGGUGAUAAGAUUCAUAGUCGAAAGGGCAACAGCCCAGAUCGUCAGCUAAGGUCCCUAAAUGUAAGUUAAGUGGUAAAGGAUGUGGGAUUGCACAGACAACCAGGAUGUUGGCUUAGAAGCAGCCACUCAUUCAAAGAGUGCGUAAUAGCUCACUGGUCGAGUGAUCCUGCGCCGAAGAUUUCCGGGGCUAAAACUU